GUACAUGCUGAGCCAUAAUUUAUGAAACGGAGCUCGGUUGAUCAGCCAAUCGGUUCACUUCUCUGUAACAAGUCUAACUGGCCCUGAAGACUAGAAAGCACUGCAACAAAAUAACAUACCGUACACAAACACACACACAAAAAGAUAUUCCCUACGCUAAGCUGCUUAGGUUGGAAUUGGUUUCUGCAGUGUUGGCUGCGGUGGGUGGGAGGGUGGGUGGCAAGGGAUGAAAUCACAGCUUAAUUUGGUUUCAAACUGGGUAACAGGUGACGUCUUUUGAUACAGUGAAAUGAUUGAAGGCAGAGCUC
rfam:Anolis carolinensis chromosome 2, whole genome shotgun sequence.